rnacentral:rRNA from 1 species
ACGAACGCUGGCGGCGCGCUUAACACAUGCAAGUCGAACGGAAAGGCCCUGCUUUUGUGGGGUGCUCGAGUGGCGAACGGGUGAGUAACACGUGAGUAACCUGCCCUUGACUUUGGGAUAACUUCAGGAAACUGGGGCUAAUACCGGAUAGGAGCUCCUGCUGCAUGGUGGGGGUUGGAAAGUUUCGGCGGUUGGGGAUGGACUCGCGGCUUAUCAGCUUGUUGGUGGGGUAGUGGCCUACCAAGGCUUUGACGGGUAGCCGGCCUGAGAGGGUGACCGGCCACAUUGGGACUAAGAUACGGCCCAGACUCCUACGGGAGGCAGCAGUGGGGAAUAUUGCACAAUGGGCGGAAGCCUGAUGCAGCAACGCCGCGUGCGGGAUGACGGCCUUCGGGUUGUAAACCGCUUUCGCCUGUGACGAAGCGUGAGUGACGGUAAUGGGUAAAGAAGCACCGGCUAACUACGUG